AAUAUUGGACAAUGGGCGCAAGCCUGAUCCAGCAAUGCCGCGUGUGUGAAGAAGGCCUUCGGGUUGUAAAGCACUUUUAUCAGGAGCGAAAUCUGCAUGCUUAAUACGUGUGCAGUCUGACGGUACCUGAGGAAUAAGCACCGGCUAACUUCGUGCCAGCAGCCGCGGUAAUACGUAGGGGGCAAGCGUUGUCCGGAUUUAUUGGGCGUAAAGCGCUCGCAGGCGGCUCGCGGCGUCGUGCGUGAAACACCCCGGCUCAACUGGGGAGGGUCGUGCGAUACGGGCGGGCUUGAGGCCAGUAGGGGGAUGCGGAAUUCCGGGUGUAGUGGUGGAAUGCGUAGAGAUCCGGAGGAACACCAGCGGCGAAGGCGGCAUCCUGGACUGGUACUGACGCUCAUGAGCGAAAGCGUGGGGAGCGAUC
rnacentral:rRNA from 1 species